rnacentral:misc_RNA from 1 species
UCCGGUUUGUCACCGGCAGUCUCAUUAGAGUGCCCAACUAAAUGUAGCAACUAAUGACAAGGGUUGCGCUCGUUGCGGGACUUAACCCAACAUCUCACGACACGAGCUGACGACAGCCAUGCAGCACCUGUCUCACGAUUCCCGAAGGCACCCGGACAUUUCUGCCCAGUUCCGUGGAUGUCAAGACCAGGUAAGGUUCUUCGCGUUGCAUCGAAUUGAACCACAUGCUCCACCGCUUGUGCGGAAGUCGCUAGAGAUAGCUUCGUGCUCGAA